rnacentral:rRNA from 1 species
CAGUCGCCACGGGAAUACGUAGGGUGCGAGCGUUAAUCGGAAUUACUGGGCGUAAAGCGUGCGCAGGCGGCUUUGCAAGACAGAUGUGGAAUCCCCGGGCUCAACCUGGGAACUGCAUUUGUGACUGCAAGGCUAGAGUACGGUAGAGGGGGAUGGAAUUCCGCGUGUAGCAGUGAAAUGCGUAGAUAUGCGGAGGAACACCAAUGGCGAAGGCAAUCCCCUGGACCUGUACUGACGCUCAUGCACGAAAGCGUGGUGAGCAAACAGGAUUAGAUACCCCCGUAGUCCCUGUCUCUUAUAC